UACGUAGGUGGCAAGCGUUUGUCCGGAUUUACUGGGCGUAAAGAGCGCGCAGGCGGUCGUUCAAGUCGCGUGUGAAAGCCCCCGGCUCAACUGGGGAGGGUCACGCGAUACUGAUCGACUCGAAGGCAGGAGAGGGUAGUGGAAUUCCCGGUGUAGUGGUGAAAUGCGUAGAUAAUCGGGAGGAACACCAGUGGCGAAGGCGACUACCUGGCCUGUUCUUGACGCUGAGGCGCGAAAGCUAGGGGAGCAAACGGG
rnacentral:rRNA from 1 species